rnacentral:rRNA from 1 species
CCAAUAGCGUAUAUUAAAGUUGUUGCAGUUAAAAAGCUCGUAGUUGAAUUUCGGAAUCAGUAUGUCGGUCGUGCCUCCGGUAUGUACUGGCGUCACUGGUUCCUCCCUUCUGACGAACCAUCAUGCUAUUAAUUUAGUGUGGUGGGAAAUCAGGACUGUUACUUUGAAAAAAUUAGAGUGUUUAAAGCAGGCUCACGCUUGAAUACAUUAGCAUGGAAUAAUGAAAUAGGACGUUGAUCCUAUUUUGUUGGUUUCUAGGAUUGACGUAAUGAUUAAUAGGGAUAGUUGGGGGCAUUAGUAUUCAAUUGUCAGAGGUGAAAUUCUUGGAUUUAUUGAAGACUAACUACUGCGAAAGCAUUUGCCAAGGAUGUGUUCAUUAAUCAAGAACGAAAGUUAGGGGAUCGAAGACGAUCAGAUACCGUCGUAGUCUUAACCAUAAACUAUGCCGACUAGGGAUCGGAUGAUGUUAAUUUUUUAAUGACUCAUUCGGCGCCUUACG